UACGAGGGGGGCAAGCGUUGUCCGGAUUUAUUGGGCGUAAAGAGCGUGUAGGCGGCCAAAUAGGUCGGUUGUGAAAACUGGAGGCUUAACCUCCAGACGUCGACCGAAACCAUUCGGCUAGAGUCCGGAAGAGGAGAGUGGAAUUCCUGGUGUAGCGGUGAAAUGCGCAGAUAUCAGGAAGAACACCCGUGACGAAGGCGGCUCUCUGGGACGGUACUGACGCUGAGACGCGAAAGCGUGGGGAG
rnacentral:rRNA from 1 species